UAAGAAGAGUGACUUGAUGCCAUGCAUGG
rnacentral:piRNA from 1 species